rnacentral:tRNA from 1 species
UUAAUUGAAGCCAAAUAAGAGGCAUAUCACUGUUAAUGAUAUCAUUGAAAUUAAUUUCCAAUUAAA